rnacentral:rRNA from 1 species
GGCGGCGUGCUUAACACAUGCAAGUCGAACGAUAAGGCCCAGCUUGCUGGGUGGAUUAGUGGCGAACGGGUGAGUAACACGUGGGUGAUCUGCCCUGCACUUCGGGAUAAGCCUGGGAAACUGGGUCUAAUACCGGAUAUGACCAAGGACUGCAUGGUUUUUGGUGGAAAGGUUUACUGGUGCAGGAUGAGCCCGCGGCCUAUCAGCUUGUUGGUGGGGUAAUGGCCUACCAAGGCGACGACGGGUAGCCGGCCUGAGAGGGCGACCGGCCACACUGGGACUGAGACACGGCCCAGACUCCUACGGGAGGCAGCAGUGGGGAAUAUUGCACAAUGGGCGAAAGCCUGAUGCAGCGACGCCGCGUGAGGGAUGACGGCCUUCGGGUUGUAAACCUCUUUCAGCAGGGACGAAGCGCAAGUGACGGUACCUGCAGAAGAAGCACCGGCCAACUACGUGCCAGCAGCCGCGGUAAUACGUAGGGUGCGAGCGUUGUCCGGAAUUACUGGGCGUAAAGAGCUCGUAGGCGGUUUGUCGCGUCGUUUGUGAAAACUCACAGCUCAACUGUGAGCUUGCAGGCGAUACGGGCAGACUUGAGUACUGCAGGGGAGACUGGAAUUCCUGGUGUAGCGGUGAAAUGCGCAGAUAUCAGGAGGAACACCGGUGGCGAAGGCGGGUCUCUGGGCAGUAACUGACGCUGAGGAACGAAAGCGUGGGUAGCGAACAGGAUUAGAUACCCUGGUAGUCCACGCCGUAAACGGUGGGCGCUAGGUGUGGGUUUCCUUCCACGGAAUCCGUGCCGUAGCUAACGCAUUAAGCGCCCCGCCUGGGGAGUACGGCCGC